CGUACAAGGUUUCCGUAGGUGAACCUGCGGA
rnacentral:rRNA from 1 species